rnacentral:rRNA from 1 species
UGCCAGCCGCCGCGGUAAUACGGAGGAUCCAAGCGUUAUCCGGAAUCAUUGGGUUUAAAGGGUCCGCAGGCGGUUUGAUAAGUCAGAGGUGAAAUCCUACGGCUCAACCGUAGAACUGCCAUUGAUACUGUCAUUCUUGAGUACUGGAGAGGUUACUAGAAUUCGUGGUGUAGCGGUGAAAUGCGUAGAUAUCACGAGGAAUACCAGAGGCGUAGGCGGGUAACUGGACAGAUACUGACACUGAGGCACGAAAGCGUGGGGAGCAAACAGGAUUAGAUA